rnacentral:misc_RNA from 1 species
GGCGUCAAAGGUGAAGCAGGACAUGCCUCCGCCGGGGGGCUAUGGGCCCAUCGACUACAAACGGAACUUGCCGCGUCGAGGACUGUCGGGCUACAGCAUGCUGGCCAUAGGGAUUGGAACCCUGAUCUACGGGCACUGGAGCAUAAUGAAGUGGAACCGUGAGCGCAGGCGCCUACAAAUCGAGGACUUCGAGGCUCGCAUCGCGCUGUUGCCACUGUUACAGGCAGAAACCGACCGGAGGACCUUGCAGAUGCUUCGGGAGAACCUGGAGGAGGAGGCCAUCAUCAUGAAGGACGUGCCCGACUGGAAGGUGGGGGAG